CUUUUUUUUGUUUCCUUCCUAUUUUCGGCAUUCUUUGCUGAACUAGUCCAAACGCCGUCGGAUCAUCCAACGACACCAUCUACGCUCCCAAUAAAUUGCUCCAUCUUUAAUACCAUGCACUGCAUCACUCCAUCUUCAAUUUGAUUUUCGGUUUUUGCUCCCUCUGUAUAAUUUAUCUGUGAAAAGGAGCUGAUUAGGUGGCGAAUUCCCUGCCCAAACAGAGAACAGAAUCUAGAGAAAAAGAAGGAAGAAGACAUGGCAAACAACUCAUAUGAGGAAGCCGUUGCAGGACUGUCAAAGCUUCUCAGUGAGAAAGCUGACCUUGGGAGCGUAGCCGCCGCAAAAAUAAAGCAGAUAAUGGCCGAGUUAGAGGCUGCUUCUACGGCGGAGUUUAACCCGGACGAGCAGAUAAAAGCCGGGUUCAUCCACUUCAAGACAGAGAAA
rnacentral:misc_RNA from 1 species